GGAUACAUAACUCAGUUGGUUUAGAGUAUUACGUUGACAUCGUAAAAGUCAUCGGUUCAAAUCCGAUUGUAUCCA
rnacentral:tRNA from 1 species